rnacentral:rRNA from 1 species
CCCUUAGAUGUUCUGGGCUGCACGCGCGCUACACUGACACGAUCAACGAGUUUGUCCUUUCCCGAUAGGGCUGGGUAAUCUUUUCAAAUCGUGUCGUGAUGGGGAUAGAUUAUUGCAAUUAUUAAUCUUAAACGAGGAAUUCCUAGUAAGUGCAAGUCAUCAGCUUGCGUUGAUUACGUCCCUGCCCUUUGUACACACCGCCCGUCGCUCCUACCGAUUGAAUGGUCCGGUGAAGCGUUUGGACUAUGGUUUUCUGACGGUUCGCCAUUGGAUUACCGUGGGAAAUUCGUUAAACCUUAUCAUUUAGAGGAAGGAGAAGUCGUAACA